UCCCCAAAGGCUUAACUAAGGUACUACCAGAGCUAUACAAAAUCCAUUCCCAGAGUGUCCACUGAGGCUGUAUUCCGGUGGAACUGUGUCCAGGACUGCAGCCCUGGACACGUCCUACACUUGAACCAUCUGUCCAGGGAGGAUUUUAAAAUGCCCUCCAUUUGGAGCAAGACUAAAGUGGAUUAAUUUACAUUUCUACAAAGGUUUUUCGCUUUUGAUUCCAUCACGCCAUCCACUUUCCUUGAAGGUCUUCCAUUUUGCAGUGCCUUGUCCUCCUUUACGAUGUGGACAUCCGGUCACCUUCCCUCAGAAUGUGAGUUCGGUGGGGUUCGGUGGAUUGUGCCGUUGUGGGUCUGAAGUCCAGGGACAGAGAGUGUCGGAGAACUUCCCUUGAAGUUCAGUCCUAAGCAGGUCUACUCAGAAGCCGGUCUGGUGGUGGGGGCCUUCCUGCUGGGCAACUGUUGGCUCCAGGAGAUGGACUCCCGACAUGCAAAGGAAUCUUCUUGGCACGGAGGCUUUUCUGGAAGCUCCCGAACUUCCUCCUUGCUCUGGACUUUGCUCUCUAGCAGCAGCAGCCUGGUGCCAGCAACUCCCCUGCAGUCGGAGAGAGUGUCCGCCGCACACCAAAGCCACACUUGGAGCCUUGAACAGUGAACUGGGUUCCCAGCGAGGAACAAAGCAAACAAACCAUCAAAACAGCUUCCUCUUGAACUUCGAGCCAAUGCGGAUGCAGUGGUAUGAGCGCUGGAGGAGGACUCUCUCUAGUCAGGGUUUGAACUCAGCUCCAGUCUAUGGCGAACCUGUGACAGGCUUUUCUUGAAAAUCCAGACAGAGUUGAAACAGUGAGUCCCUCCGAGGCAGAGCGAGUCUGGAAGGAAAGCCAGAGGAGAAGAAGAGGAAUCGUGGAUCUGCCUGUGUCUCUGGCAGCGAGAAGAAAAGACAACGUUUCCAGCUCUUUUGAGGAAGAGAUUUCUGGCCAAGUGAAGAAAACAAACGCCUGCAAGAUCCUGUCCACUGCCUAGGGAUUAAAUUGUAUUGGUCUGCUUUACAAUCCAACCGUAAAAUAAACUGAGGGAAAGAGAGGAGAGCUGGCAUGGUGUGGUGGUUUGAGCAUUGGACUAUGACUCUGGAGACCAGGGUUUGGUUCCCUAUUCCACAGAUCUCCUUUCCAGGUGAAGGCACCGGGGUAGCCUUGAGCAAGUCACACUUUCUCAGCCCCAGAGGAAGGCAAGGGCAAACCCCUCUGAACAAAUCUUGCCAAGAAAACCCCAUGACAGGAUAGCCUUAGGGUCGCCACAAGUCGGCAACCGACGUGAAGGGACACAUCAACUAAAACAAAGCAGAUAUUGCUGAAACGGAGCAAGAUCCCCUCCUCAACAACUUCCAGGCAUUUCCUAAAGUAUGUACCAGCAGAAAGCUGGGAAAAUAAGGGACCUCCCUGUCACACUGGAUCGGAACAGUGCAGAAAUGCUUCCUUUCCAUCAUCCCAUCUUUCCAGAGUCUUUCCUUUGUUCAUUGGUCACUAGAUUCUUGGGCCAGCCCGACCUUUUCCGUCGGCAGCCUCAGUGGUACUUUGCAGCUUCUUUCCUCUCAACUAUUCCGAUCCCUCCCUCGCUUUAAAUCCAACUUUCGUUCUUCGGACGUGUGCCUUGCAAUUCUCCCAGUCUCCCUCCCUCCCUCUCGAUUUCUCUUCUCCCCCCCCCCCCACCCCCCCAACAGCUAGAGCAAAGGUCUGUUGCAAAGGCAGAAUGGAGCCAAAAUGAACGCGAAGUACAGCCAGUCCUCCAUAUCCAGGGGUUCUUUAUCCGCGGAUUCAACCAAUUUUAUAUAUAGAUAAAUUCCAAACUGCAACUCUUGAUUGUGCCACUUUAUACAAAGGACACAAUUUCACUAUGCCACUGUAUUUAAUGGGAUUUGAGCGCCCAUGGGUUUUAGUAUCCGCAGGAGAGUCCUAGAUCCAAACACCAGCAGAUACCAAGGACCCACUGUACUUGUAAGCAGUGGGUUUGGAAAGGAAGUGUACCUGUAAAUCGUUGACGAGGCAGGGCUUCCAGGCAAACAGCCCCACAGUUUUGGGGGGGAAAAAUGCUUGCCCACAGAUCUCCUUUCCAGGUGAAGGCAACUUUCAACCAUUUGCCGGAACACGCUUUGCUUCCGAGUCCCACCUGCCUUGAUAUUUCCUGAGGCUGUGGUACCACAGAAAGCCUUCUGCGCAUGAUCAGAGGCACUUCCCUGCCUCACAUAUUCAAUACUACUCGUCUUAGCCUCAUUGAGCUUGCACCAGGCAGCUUCUAGUGGUAACAAAAAUACACCAGAAAAACAACAUGAAACAUUUAUCCAGCGACUUGUUGUUGCUGUUGUUUUUCUAAAUCAAUCACAGCAGGGAGAGAGAAGACAGCAUGUAAAAGGAAGAUGCAAAAACAAAAACAAAACAAUAGGAAAUCAAUCUAAGGGGCAAAACAGUAGGAAAGGGAUAUAAAGGCAGUAGUAGUUUACACAAAAUAUUAUCUAGACAAAACAACUAAAGAACUACUGUACCAAUAAAGCAUGUCUGUUCUUCCUAGAAUUUCCACCAGUUCAGACUGUGAAAGCUUGCUGUGUUCUUAGGAAAAAUAAAAGAAGAGGGAUGGAAAGUUUUUUGUAUCUGUCCCAAGCAAAGGACAUCCAGGGUUGGCCAUAUAGCAAAUGCAGUUUAAAAAUCCACCAGUGAUACCUUUAUUGGCCAACCAAAAUGCACAAUAUAUGUGUUGCCAGCUUUUGAGGCUUCACAGGCCUCUUCAUCAGGCAAGGUGUUACAAACCAAACAGGAGGGAAAAAAUUGAAGUUGUUAGUCAUAGUCCUGCAUUUUGCUGUUUCUCUUCUUAAUUAAGAUAGUAUGGAGGGGCAUAUCUUGCAGGCUGGCACCUCAUGUAGGCUCAACUGAAAGCUUAAUAUUUAUUCAGUUAGAAAUAGGGAAAAGAGUGCUUUUUAAAUGAAGCAACAAAGUUAGGCCUCCUGGAGGGAAUAAACAAAAACAGAAUAAAAUAAGAAAUUUUGUGGGCUUUUCUUUUCCAGUUCA